AGGUACCACUCGAACACUCCGGAUCUAGGCGCGUCGUCCACGCCCACCUGACGACUGCCCGCCCCGGUUUUUUUAGCC
rnacentral:sRNA from 5 species